rnacentral:rRNA from 1 species
UGAGGAAUAUUGGUCAAUGGGCGAGAGCCUGAACCAGCCAAGUAGCGUGAAGGAUGAAGGUCCUACGGAUUGUAAACUUCUUUUAUACGGGAAUAAAGUUUCCUACGUGUAGGAUUUUGUAUGUACCGUAUGAAUAAGCAUCGGCUAACUCCGUGCCAGCAGCCGCGGUAAUACGGAGGAUGCGAGCGUUAUCCGGAUUUAUUGGGUUUAAAGGGAGCGCAGACGGGAGAUUAAGUCAGUUGUGAAAGUUUGCGGCUCAACCGUAAAAUUGCAGUUGAUACUGGUUUCCUUGAGUGCAGUUGAGGCAGGCGGAAUUCGUGGUGUAGCGGUGAAAUGCUUAGAUAUCACGAAGAACCCCGAUUGCGAAGGCAGCUUGCUAAACUGUAACUGACGUUCAUGCUCGAAAGUGUGGGUAUCAAACAGGAUUAGAUACCCUGGUAGUCCACACGGUAAACGAUGGAUACUCGCUGUUGGCGAUAUACUGUCAGCGGCCAAGCGAAAGCAUUAAGUAUCCCACCUGGGGAGUACGCCGGCAACGGUGAAACUCAAAGGAAUUGACGGAGGCCCGCACAAGCGGAGGAACAUGUGGUUUAAUUCGAUGAUACGCGAGGAACCUUACCCGGGCUUAAAUUGCAGACGAAUUACGAGGAAACUUGUAAGCCGCAAGGCGUCUGUGAAGGUGCUGCAUGGUUGUCGUCAGCUCGUGCCGUGAGGUGUCGGCUUAAGUGCCAUAACGAGCGCAACCCUCGUGGUCAGUUACUAACAGGUUAAGCUGAGGACUCUGGCCAGACUGCCAUCGUAAGAUGUGAGGAAGGUGGGGAUGACGUCAAAUCAGCACGGCCCUUACGUCCGGGGCUACACACGUGUUACAAUGGGAGGUACAGAAGGCAGCUACCCGGCGACGGGAUGCCAAUCCCCAAAACCUCUCUCAGUUCGGACUGGAGUCUGCAACCCGACUCCACGAAGCUGGAUUCGCUAGUAAUCGCGCAUCAGCCACGGCGCGGUGAAUACGUUCCC